rnacentral:rRNA from 1 species
AGCCAGAACACAGGUGCUGCAUGGCUGUCGUCAGCUCGCGUCGUGAGAUGUUGGGUUAAGUCCCGCAACGAGCGCAACCCUUGUCAUUAGUUGCCAUCAUUUAGUUGGGCACUCUAAUGAGACUGCCGGUGACAAACCGGAGGAAAGGUGGGGGAUGACGUCAAGUCCUCAUGGCCCUUAUGGGUAGGGCUUCACACGUCAUACAAUGGUCGGUACAGAGGGUUGCCAAGCCGCGAGGUGGGAGCCAAUCCCUUAAAGCCGAUCGUAGUCCGGAUCGUAGUCUGCAACUCGACUACGUGAAGUCGGAAUCGCUAGUAAUCGCAGAUCAGCAUGCUGCGGUGAAUACGUUCCCGGGUCUU